rnacentral:rRNA from 1 species
UACGGGGGGGGCAAGCGUUGUUCGGAAUUACUGGGCGUAAAGGGCUCGUAGGCGGCCAACUAAGUCAGACGUGAAAUCCCCAGGCUCAACCUGGGAACUGCGUCUGAUACUGGAUGGCUUGAAUCCGGGAGAGGGAUGCGGAAUUCCAGGUGUAGCGGUGAAAUGCGUAGAUAUCUGGAGGAACACCGGUGGCGAAGGCGGCAUCCUGGACCAAUAUUGACGCUGAGGAGCGAAAGCUAGGGGAGCAAACGGG